rnacentral:rRNA from 1 species
UGGGGAAUUUUGGACAAUGGGGGAAACCCUGAUCCAGCCAUCCCGCGUGUGCGAUGAAGGCCUUCGGGUUGUAAAGCACUUUUGGCAGGAAAGAAACGUCGCGGGUUAAUACCCCGCGAAACUGACGGUACCUGCAGAAUAAGCACCGGCUAACUACGUGCCAGCAGCCGCGGUAAUACGUAGGGUGCAAGCGUUAAUCGGAAUUACUGGGCGUAAAGCGUGCGCAGGCGGUUCGGAAAGAAAGACGUGAAAUCCCAGAGCUUAACUUUGGAACUGCAUUUUUAACUACCGGGCUAGAGUGUGUCAGAGGGAGGUGGAAUUCCGCGUGUAGCAGUGAAAUGCGUAGAUAUGCGGAGGAACACCGAUGGCGAAGGCAGCCUCCUGGGAUAACACUGACGCUCAUGCACGAAAGCGUGGGGAGCAAACAGGAUUAGAUACCCUGGUAGUCCACGCCCUAAACGAUGCCAACUAGCUGUUGGGGCCUUCGGGCCUUGGUAGCGCAGCUAACGCGUGAAGUUGACCG